AUGGGGAUGAGGGAACGAAUCCACCCCAAUGUUGAUUCCUCCAUGCAGACCCUGAUCGCCCACUUUGACCGCACAGCCAAUCCAGCUCCUCAUCCCCAUCUCCCCUUUGUCCGGGCGGCCGUGACCCUGCUGGAGUGCGGGGGGGACCUCCAGCCCCCCGGGGGGUCCCUGCGCCUCCUCUGCCGAGGGGCCGGGUUCAGUUUCGGCAGUUUCACCAUGUUCUGGGUCCGCCAGAGACCCGGGCAGGGGCUGGAGUGGCUCGCAGGGAUCUACAGCAGUGGUUCCAGCACCGGGUACGCGCCAUCGGUCAAGGGCCGGUUCAGGAUCUCCAGGGACAACGGGCAGAGCUCGGUGACGCUGACCAUGAACAACCUCAAGGACGAGGAUUCCGGAUCCUAUUUCUGUGCCAAAUGUUACAGCAGUGGCUGUGGUAGUGGUGCUUAUAUUUAUGGUGUUGAUGGUGUUCCGGGGCCCUGA